rnacentral:hammerhead_ribozyme from 1 species
ACCAGGUGAGGAGUCCCAAAUAGGACGAAACGUGCGUCAAACUGGAU